GGACCCGCACAAGCGGUGGAGCAUGUGGUUUAAUUCGAUGCAACGCGAAAAAACCUUACCUACUCUUGACAUACUUGGAAGCUCUUGUAAUGAGAGUGUGCCUUUUGGAACCAAGAUACAGGUGCUGCAUGGCUGUCGUCAGCUCGUGUCGUGAGAUGUUCCGUUAAGUCGGAUAACGAGCGCAACCCUUACCCUUAUUUGCCAGCGAUUCGGUCGGGAACUAUAAGGGGACUGCCGGUGAUAAACCGGAGGAAGGUGAGGACGACGUCAAGUCAUCAUGGCCCUUACGAGUAGGGCUACACACGUGCUACAAUGGCGGUGACAACGGGCAGCGAAGGGGCGACCUGGAG
rnacentral:rRNA from 1 species